rnacentral:rRNA from 1 species
UACGAGGGGGCAAGUGUUGUUCGGAAUUACUGGGCGUAAAGGGAGCGUAGGCGGGCUCUUAAGUUGGAUGUUUAAAACCGGGGCCUAACCCCGGCGUGGCAUCCAAAACUGGGAGUCUUGAAUGGGACAGAGGCCAGUGGAAUUAGAGGUGUAGCGGUGGAAUGCGUAGAUAUCUCUAAGAACACCAGUUUGUGAAGGCGGCUGGCUGGGUCCACAUUGACGCUGAGGCUCGAAAGCGUGGGGGAGCAAAACAGG